rnacentral:piRNA from 1 species
AGAAAAAUAUAAAUUGUUUGU